AGAGAGAGACAUGCGCGCAUAUCAAUAAGCGGAGGAAAAGAAACUAACAAGGAUUCCCCUCAGUAACGGCGAGUGAAGCGGGAAGAGCUCAAAUUUGAAAUCUUCAAGGUUCUACCUUGACGAAUUGUAGUUUAAAGAAGUGUUUUCGGUUAGAGGAGUUUGGUAAAAGUUCUUUGGAAUAGGACAUCAUAGAGGGUGAGAAUCCCGUAUUUGACCUAUUAUGUUCUAGCUGUGUGAUACACUUUCAAAGAGUCGGAUUGUUUGGGAAUGCAGUCCAAAAUGGGUGGUAAAUUUCAUCUAAAGCUAAAUAUUGGCGAGAGACCGAUAGCGAACAAGUACCGUGAGGGAAAGAUGAAAAGAACUUUGAAAAGAGAGUUAAACAGUACGUGAAAUUGUCAAAAGGGAAGCGUUUGACACCAGUGUUGUUUUCUCGAAAAUCAAUUAAAAAAGGCCUGGAUUUUGUGUUGUAUUGACCUUUAUAAGCUUUCUGCACUCUUUUCUUGUCUUUUUUAAUGCACUUUUCGUUUAACAAGUCAACAUCAGUUUCUUUUGUUGUAAAAGGGUCAUUGGAAGGUGGCUUUCUUUUCGGAGAAAGUGUUUAUAGCCUUUGAUCUCUGCAACCGGAGAGACUGAGGUCUGCAGCGUAGACUCUUCGGGGUUAGAUACAUUUGUGCUAAGCUAUAGCUUUUUAUAGACAACUUGUUGACUAUAUUUAGUCUUGUGGCUUACUCGCUUAUGCUAUUUUACCUACGCUUAGGAUGUUGACAGCAGUAUAGACUGU
rnacentral:rRNA from 1 species